AAAAUCAUCAAUCUAUUACAUUGAAAAAUAAGGAAACUGAUGUCAUCACAGCAAGUAAGAUGGAAAAUGAAUGCCUUAACAAAACGGUACAAAGAAUGUAUCGACAGCAAUAAUAAAACUGGAAGAGGUGCUGUUGAAUUUCAAUGGUUCGAUCAACUCGAUGAAAUUUUCGGGAAAAACAAUGUUAAAUCGGCUUAUCUGUUUCAACGAAGUUGUCUUUCUUUUUUGCGACGACAUCUAAGAAUAAAGAAUAUAACGCAACAGUCACUAACGAACAGAGUGAAAAUAAAGGAAAGAAAAAAAAGGAGUUGCAUGAAUCUCAUUUUGAAGUGAAAAAUACAAAGCGUACGGUCCUUGAAGAGAUCUGCCCAUCAUCAAAUAUAGCUGCAAAUAAGCAAGUUAUUGAAGAUGUAACAGCAACGAUGCAGCCCGAGACGUUAAAAAAGUUAUGCCCAGCACACGGAACUGCUUCAAACAUCGCAAAAAGUAAAAUUGAACUCGAAAAGCAGUGGCAUCAAUAUCUGUGGCAAGAUAAAACUAAAAGAGAGAUUAAGCUAAAGAGAAACGGUACAACGACAUAAUGAAAAAAAA
rnacentral:misc_RNA from 1 species